rnacentral:rRNA from 1 species
AAGCUCGUAGUUGAAUUUCGGGAUUAAUUUAUUGGUCGUGCAAUAGUACGUACUGAUAUUAUUGAUUCCUACCUUCUGACGAACCAUGAUGUCAUUAAUUUGGUGUCAUGGGGAAUCAGGACUGUUACUUUGAAAAAAUUAGAGUGUUUAAAGCAGGCUCACGCUUGAAUACAUUAGCAUGGAAUAACGAAAUAGGACGUUUGAUUCUAUUUUGUUGGUUUCUAGGAUCGACGUAAUGAUUAAUAGGGAUAGUUGGG